CAGGCACUCCUUCUGCCUGGGGUCCAGCACCAAGAUGAGAGGGCAUGCAACCUGACAUCCCUUGUCGCCAUGAGGAAGCGCCUGAACAAGGAAGCCAGAGAACAAAGAACAGGAGGGAAUAAGCCUUCAUGUUUCUGUCUGGAAGGAUCUCCAGUAGGAAAGGGAGAGGGAAGUUCUCUGACUGGCAAGUUUAGGAAUAGAAACUGCAACACUUGGCUCAGCUCCCACCUGCCCUCUCUUUUGGAACCCGCUUGUCCCAAGAACACACGGUCUCUGUUCUCCGUGCUGCGGGUGCCUGCAGUUUUCCAGCUCGGCCCAGGUAGGCUGAUGAGACUACAGAUGUAACCCAGGAUGGAGGAGAAGAGAAACGCCAUCUACAGGCUGCUGUCAGGAACCAGGCACCGUGGUUUGGAGAAAAUGUCGGCUGCAGCCCACCAAUCUGACUUCAUGAUCCAUGAAUGGUGUGAGAGGCACAGAUUGCUGAAAACUGAUGGGUAGUGGUGGGGCAGACCAUAGGACAGCGGGAUCGCAGCAGCCAGAUGAGGUUGAGUAGGAGAAGCGGCUUCAUAUAAAAGGGAGAGCAUGUGUCUGUGUAUGUGUGAGUCAGCGCCCUUCUGAACAUCCCCCUACACUUUCACAUUGUCUGUCAUCCCACCGAGCACGUUCCCACCUCUGUCACGAAGCUAUCUUCCCCAAAUGCAAUAUUUAAAAGAUACUUCUGAACGUCUUAGCUUUGUUUAUCACUGUCUUGAUUUAUCAGCCCACCAGCCAACGUAUUUCUUGAGGAACCUGCACUGUGUCUGUAGCCAGCUGCUGUACAGUUGGCCCUCAGUGUCUGUGGGUUCUGCAUCUGCAGAUUCAACCAAACACAGAUUGAAAAUAGUUGGGGGAAAAAAAUUCCAGAAAGUUCAAAAAAGCAAAACUUGAAUUUGCUGUGCACCCAGCAACUAUUUACAUAGUAUUUACAACUACUUACAUAGCAUUUACAUUGUAGUAGUAUUAUAAGUAAUCUAGAGAUGAUUUAAAAUGUAUGGGAGAUACAAUGGAAUAUCAUCCGUCAGCCAUAAAAAAGAAUGAAAUAAUGCCAUUUGCAGUGACAUGGAUGGAUCUAGAGAUUAUCAUACUAAGCGAAGUAAGUCAGACAGAAAAGACAAAUAUCAUAUGAUCUCACUUAUAUGUGGAAUCUAAAAAAUGAUACAAAUGAACUUACAAAACAGAAACAGACUCACAGACAUAGAAAACAAACUUAUGGUUACCAAAGGGGAAAGGGAGUGAGGGAUAAAUUAGGAGUUUAGGAUUAAUAGAUAGACACUACUAUAUAUAAAACAGAAAAACAACAAGGCCCUACUGUAUAGCACAGGGAACUAUAUUCAAUAUCUGAUAAUAAUCUAUAAUGGAAAAGAAUCUGUAAAAGAAUAUAUAUAUAUAUAUAUCUGAAUCAUUUUACUGUACACCUGAAACUAAUACCACAUUGUAAAUCAACUAUACUUCAAUUAAUAAAUAAGUAAAUCAAUCAAUCGAUCAAUAAGUAAAUUUCAGAAACUGAUUUAAAAAAACAUAUGGGAGGAUGUGCAUAGGUUAUAUGUAAGUACUACACAAAUACCAAUGGACAACUGUACUUACCAUGGUGGGACGUGUGAUAUGUUAAGGGGGUGGGGGCACAGGACAAGACCCAGAUGUCACCGCGGGAAGGCUGGUUUGGCUGGUUGUCCAUGGAUAGCAUCACCUUGGUGACGGUCUUAGCCUGAGCUGACAGGUUCAGAAAGUGGACCUACACCUCUGAGCACGGCCUCACCACACAAGGCCUCAUAUUUGGCUCUGACAUUGUCGCCAAAUGACCUUAUUCUUACAGGUACAGAGACAGCCUGAUAAAGUUGAAAGUAGAAGGCGUUCAUCACAUAUCCUUAACCGUACAUCCCAUCCUCCAACCACUGCUUAAAGUGCACUAAGAAUUAAUAUUUUUGU